AAAUUGAAGAGUUUGAUCAUGGCUCAGAUUGAACGCUGGCGGCAGGCCUAACACAUGCAAGUCGAACGGUAACAGGAAGCAGCUUGCUGCUUUGCUGACAAGUGGCGGACGGGUGAGUAAUGUCUGGGAAACUGCCUGAUGGAGGGGGAUAACUACUGGAAACGGUAGCUAAUACCGCAUAACGUCGCAAGACCAAAGAGGGGGACCUUCGGGCCUCUUGCCAUUGGAUGUGCCCAGAUGGGAUUAGCUAGUAGGUGGGGUAACGGCUCACCUAGGCGACGAUCCCUAGCUGGUCUGAGAGGAUGACCAGCCACACUGGAACUGAGACACGGUCCAGACUCCUACGGGAGGCAGCAGUGGGGAAUAUUGCACAAUGGGCGCAAGCCUGAUGCAGCCAUGCCGCGUGUAUGAAGAAGGCCUUCGGGUUGUAAAGUACUUUCAGCGGGGAGGAAGGGAGUAAAGUUAAUACCUUUGCUCAUUGACGUUACCCGCAGAAGAAGCACCGGCUAACUCCGUGCCAGCAGCCGCGGUAAUACGGAGGGUGCAAGCGUUAAUCGGAAUUACUGGGCGUAAAGCGCACGCAGGCGGUUUGUUAAGUCAGAUGUGAAAUCCCCGGGCUCAACCUGGGAACUGCAUCUGAUACUGGCAAGCUUGAGUCUCGUAGAGGGGGGUAGAAUUC
rnacentral:rRNA from 1 species